GACGAACGCUGGCGGCGUGCUUAACACAUGCAAGUCGAACGGUAAGGCCCUUCGGGGUACACGAGUGGCGAACGGGUGAGUAACACGUGGGUGAUCUGCCCUGCACUUCGGGAUAAGCCUGGGAAACUGGGUCUAAUACCGGAUAGGACUACUGGCUUCAUGGGUGGGGGUGGAAAGCUUUUGCGGUGUGGGAUGGGCCCGCGGCCUAUCAGCUUGUUGGUGGGGUAAUGGCCUACCAAGGCGACGACGGGUAGCCGGCCCGAGAGGGUGACCGGUCACACUGGGACUGAGAUACGGCCCAGACUCCUACGGGAGGCAGCAGUGGGGAAUAUUGCACAAUGGGCGCAAGCCUGAUGCAGCGACGCCGCGUGAGGGAUGACGGCCUUCGGGUUGUAAACCUCUUUCAGCUAUGACGAAGCGCAAGUGACGGUAGUAGCAGAAGAAGGACCGGCCAACUACGUGCCAGCAGCCGCCGUAA
rnacentral:rRNA from 1 species